AUUGAACGCUGGCGGCAUGCCUUACACAUGCAAGUCGAACGGUAACAGGUCUUCGGAUGCUGACGAGUGGCGAACGGGCGAGUAAUACAUCGGAACGUGCCCGAUCGUGGGGGAUAACGAGGCGAAAGCUUUGCUAAUACCGCAUACGAUCUACGGAUGAAAGCGGGGGAUCUUCGGACCUCGCGCGGACGGAGCGGCCGAUGGCAGAUUAGGUAGUUGGUGGGAUAAAAGCUUACCAAGCCGACGAUCUGUAGCUGGUCUGAGAGGAUGAUCAGCCACACUGGGACUGAGACACGGCCCAGACUCCUACGGGAGGCAGCAGUGGAGAAUUUUGGACAAUGGGCGAAAGCCUGAUCCAGCCAUGCCGCGUGCAGGAUGAAGGCCUUGGGGUUGUAAACUGCUUUUGUACGGAACGAAAAGCCUCUUUCUAAUAAAGAGGGGUCAUGACGGUACCGUAAGAAUAAGCACCGGCUAACUACGUG
rnacentral:rRNA from 1 species